GACCAAACCCUCGGGAAAUCAUUUUCUGCCGCUUGCAAGAAGAAUCAAAGGUAGCUUUCGCUCUCUCCUCUACGAAUUAUUUUGUAUUCUCGAUUCUUUAUCGAUUUUUCCGGCAAUGGGUAAGGCUGUUCUUGUUUCUCCGUCCUCUUCUUCCUCCGAGAGCGAAGCGUCGUUAGUUCGCCGAAACUCUCGGUUAACCGGGAAUCCAAGUGACGAAGCUCAAUCUAGUCGAUCGAAUCGGAUCGAAAUUCCGACGUUGCUUGAUGAGCCAGAUCGGGAAGGUUCCGGUGGACAUCCCGCUGCUCCU
rnacentral:sRNA from 1 species